AUCCCAUGGUGAGGGAAUUUGCGUAGUAACUUUUUGAAUAUUUCCCAUUCCUUGUAUAGGGAUUCAUCAUCCAUCUACUGAAAAGUGGUGAUCUCAUUCUGUAACU
rfam:Gossypium hirsutum cultivar TM-1 chromosome 8, whole genome shotgun sequence